rnacentral:lncRNA from 1 species
CUUCCAUGACCCUCUUGAAGGAGUGACCUCCAGCUCUUGGCUCAUUGUACUUUCAUGAUCAGGAGAGGUGUAAUCAGUGACCCCUACUUGGUCACCUGUGGUUUACAGAAGUGACUGUAUCUGUCACUGCUGGAUCCCAGGAGUUUAGCACACACUUCAGCCGGUGUGAGUACCGGAGCCAUUAUUGUUACUAAUAGCUGCGACUUGUGGAGCAGUCUGUAAGCAUUCUCUAAGAUGCGGUCCCAGCAUCUCUUAAACACGUCUUCUGUGGCCUUCCCAGUGGCCAUAACCGCCAAGGCCCUCAGGGUACAGAGGACACUGAAGCUCAGAGAGGACGAACAGCUCACUCCAAGUCACACAGCUUGCUGGCGAGAGACCAGUCAGGACAGAGUCCCUGGCCUGCUUGCGUCUGUGUGGUGUUGUGAAGCCUGUCCUCUGACUCUGGCUCUUCCUGAAGUUGUUUCCUGAGCGUCACCUAGCAGUCAGUCUGUCCGUUGGUCUAUAUGCCACCUGUCUUUCCCCUCCCUCGUCUUCCUUCCUUUCUGUUAAUCUUUACUGGUGCAUGCCAUGUGCUGUGUGCAGCCCAGGUACCACAGGGCAUCGGAGAAAAAUAAAGAUGCUGUUCCAACUGGAA